ensembl:snoRNA
UGCAGCUUUGUCAAAUUCAGUACACCCUUCCCAGUGGGUGCUACUGGCCAAAAUGGCUGCGACAUUAAAGUUGUAGUUCGUGGGCCCCGUUGUGCUCCAACAUGGCCUGUGGGGAUAAAUACGUGCUACACACAAAC